UGCGCCUUGCCAGCCCGCUCAGAAACUUAAAGGAAUUGACGGGGGCCCGCACAAGCGGAGGAGCAUGUGGUUUAAUUCGAUGAUACGCGAGGAACCUUACCUGGGGCUCGAACGUAAGAUGACUGUAGGUGAAAGCUUACAUCUCUUCGGAGCAUUUUACGAGGUGCUGCAUGGUUGUCGUCAGCUCGUGCCGUGAGGUGUCGGGUUAAGUCCCAUAACGAGCGCAACCCCUACCUUUAGUUGCCAUCAGGUUAAGCUGGGGACUCUAAAGGAACUGCCUACGCAAGUAGUGAGGAAGGCGGGGAUGACGUCAAAUCAGCACGGCCCUUACGUCCAGGGCUACACACGUGCUACAAUGGCCGAUACAGAGGGCAGCUACCUGGUGACAGGAUGCAAAUCUCCAAAGUCGGUCUCAGUUCGGAUCGGAGUCUGCAACCCGACUCCGUGAAGUUGGAUUCGCUAGUAAUCGCGCAUCAGCCAUGGCGCGGUGAAUACGUUCCCGGGCCUU
rnacentral:rRNA from 1 species